ACCCCGGCGGCCUAGUGGGUAGAGCGUCCGCCUCGGAUGUGGGAGGUCGCGGGUUCGAUACCAGUCUGUCAUA